rnacentral:rRNA from 1 species
AAGACCUUGCGCUUUUGGAGCGGCCGAUGCCUGAUUAGCUUGUUGGUAAGGUAAAGGCUUACCAAGGCUUCGAUCAGUAGCUGGUCUGAGAGGACGGCCAGCCACACUGGGACUGAGACACGGCCCAGACUCCUACGGGAGGCAGCAGUGGGGAAUUUUGGACAAUGGGGGAAACCCUGAUCCAGCCAUGCCGCGUGAGUGAAGAAGGCCUUCGGGUUGUAAAGCUCUUUCAGCCGGAACGAAACGGUUACGGAUAAUACCCGUGACUACUGACGGUACCGGAAGAAGGAGCACCGGCUAACUACGUGCCAGCAGCCGCGGUAAUACGUAGGGUGCGAGCGUUAAUCGGAAUUACUGGGCGUAAAGCGUGCGCAGGUGGUUUUGUAAGUCAGAUGUGAAAGCCCCGGGCUCAACCUGGGAACU